UCAGGGCUGCGUCCACACGGCUACUGGCCACGGGGGCCCACACAGUACGGCGCACAGGUACCAAACACAAGUACGGCACACAAUACGCGCGCAGGUACUGCACACAAGUACUGCCCACACCGUAGGUGUGGCCUGCAGUGCCGCAUCCACACAGCCACUGCCCACAGGGACUGCACAGCCUACUGCACAAAGGUACCAAACACAGAUACUGCACACAAGUACUGCCUGCACAAGUACUGCCACAGAGACUGCACAAAGUACCGCCCACUGCACAAAAUACCACCCACACCAUAGGUGUGGCCUACAGAGCUGCACCCACAGAGGCACUGCCCAUAGCGACUGCACACAGUUACCAAACACAGAUAUCACACAAAGUACCCAACACAGCACUGUACAUAGGUAUUGCACGCAGUACCCAACACAGCAUCAUGUAUGAGUACUGCACACAAGUACUGCCCACAGGGACUGCACACAGCACCAUACAUAAUACUGAACACAGUACUGCACACAGGUGUAGCCUACAGUGCUGUACCCACCCUGGCACUGCCCACAGAGACUACACACAGGUAUCACACACAAGUAUGGCCUGCAGUGCUGCAACCACAUGGGCACUGGUCACAGGAACCACACACAGUACCAAACACAGGUACUGCACACAGGUAUCAAACUCAGUACCAAAUUCAGGUACCACACACAGGUACCAAACACAGUACCACACACAAGUACAGCCUGCAGUGCUGCACCCACACAGACACUGCCCACAGGGACCACACAAGGUACCAAUCACAGGUACUGUGCACAGGCACCAAGCACAGUACCAAAUGCAGUACUGAACACAAUACCAAACACAGUACUGCACACAGGUAUGGCCUGUAGAGCUGCACUCAGGCACUGCCCACAGGGACCACACACAGUACCAAACAGUAUGGUAUACAGGUACUGCACACAAGUGUGGCCCACAGUGCUGCACCCACACAGGUCCUGACCACUAGCACUGUACACGGUAUCAUGCACAGGUACUGCACACAGGUACUGCACAUAGUACCAAACAGUACUACAUAACGGCAUUCAACACAGUACUAAACAUAGUACCACACACCCAGUACCCCAUGAGUACUGCCCACAGGGACUGUAUACAGUACCACACACAGUACCGCACACAGUACUACUCUUAGGUACUAAACACAGUACUGCCCACAGGUACCAAACAGUACUGCCCACAGGUACUGUGCACAAUACCCAACAUGGUACUGCACACAUGUACUGUCCACAGGGACCACACACUGCACCACACACAGUGCUGCACUUAGGUACCAAACACAGUACCAAACAUAGUACUACACAGAUACCGAACAGUACUGCCCACUGGUACUGCACACAGUACCAAACACAGUACUGUACACAGGUACCACAUACAGUACUGAACAGCACGGCACACAGGCAUUAUGCACAGUACUGCAUAUAGGCAUCUCACACAGUACUGCACACAAGUAGUGCAUAGAAUACCAAACAUAGUACAGCAUGCAGUACUAAACACAGUACCACACACAACUGCUGCCCAUAGGGACUGCGUACAGUACCACAUACAGUACUGGACAUAGUACCACACACCCAGUACUGCACUUAGGUACCAAGCACAGUAUUGCACACAGGUACUGUACAUAGGUACUACACACAUUAUUAAACAGUACUGGACACAGGCAUCACACACAGUAUCAAACACAGUACUACAUACAGGCACUGUACACAGUACCAGAGUACUGCACAUAAGUAGUGCAUACAGUACGAAACACAGUAUUGCACACAGUACUAAACACAGUCCCACACACAGUACCACACACAGGUACCACACAUGGUACCAAACACAGUGGCACACACAGGCACUGCCAGUAGUUACUACAUACAGUACUACACACAGGUAUCACACAUGGUACCAAACAGUGGCACACACACCCACUGCCAAUAGGUACUGCAUACAGUACUGCACACAGGUGCUGAGAAGAGAUUGAGUCACAGCACCUGGGAGAGCAAUAAUUGAAUACUUGGAGGAUGUGUUUCCGUCUUUUCAUCAGCAGUUGUAGAGUCUUUUCUGUAGGGUGGGCAUGAGGCAUCUACAGGUAAAGAAAACAGGUGCAACCUGGAUCUCCAUGGAGCUAAGGAUAUGCUGGGGGAGGCAUGAAAAACAAGUAACACUUAAAAAUGAACGUAGAAUUGCAGAGGGUGAAAAGAGACUUCUGUCCGGAUCAGAUUUAUAUUUAGGCUGAGUGAGCCUUUCUGAGGACACAAUGCAUAGUCUCCAUAUGAUCUGGGAAGAUCUGAAGGCUUUAGCUGGGCCAGGGGGGAGGAUCAGGGACCUGUUUGUACUGAGGCUUUCUAAUCAGUAUUAAGGGGUGAAAUCUUUCAUUAUGGCGCUCCAAAUUUUUUUAAAUGAUAUAUUUAUUGAGAUGUAAUUUACAUAUUAUAAUAUUUACCCUUUUAAUGUAUACAGUUUGGAAUUGUGAAGCCCACAUCACUGUCUGAUUUUGGAACAUUUUUAUCACUGCUUCACCUCUCAAAGAAACCCUGUACUCAUUGGCAGUAUCUCCCAAAUUCCCUCAGGGAUCCUCUGCUGGGCUGACCCUGUGGAUAAGUGUUUGACAAAGCUGAACUUACUCAGUUUUGUUGUAUGUCUUUCUUUGAAGUUUACGUUUUCAUUUGCUAAUAAAAUUAUAAAACAAGGAAA